UACGUAGGGACCAAGCGUUGUUCGGAUUUACUGGGCGUAAAGGGCGCGUAGGCGGCGCGGUAAGUCACUUGUGAAAUCUCUGAGCUUAACUCAGAACGGCCAAGUGAUACUGCAGUGCUAGAGUGUGGAAGGGGCAAUCGGAAUUCUUGGUGUAGCGGUGAAAUGCGUAGAUAUCAAGAGGAACACCUGAGGUGAAGACGGGGUUGCUGGGCCAACACUGACGCUGAGGAGCGAAAGCGUGGGGAGCGAACAGG
rnacentral:rRNA from 1 species